rnacentral:rRNA from 1 species
UACGGGGGGAGCAAGCGUUGUUCGGAUUUACUGGGCGUAAAGGGCGCGUAGGCGGCCACCGCAAGUCGGUUGUGAAAUCUCUGGGCUUAACCCAGAAAGGUCAACCGAUACUGCGGGGCUAGAGUGCAGAAGGGGCAACUGGAAUUCUCGGUGUAGCGGUGAAAUGCGUAGAUAUCGAGAGGAACACCUGCGGCGAAGGCGGGUUGCUGGGCUGACACGUGACGCUGAAGCGCGAAAGCUAGGGGAGCGAACGGG